rnacentral:rRNA from 1 species
GACGAACGCUGGCGGCGUGCUUAACACAUGCAAGUCGAACGGAAAGGCCCUGCGCUUGUGGGGUGCUCGAGUGGCGAACGGGUGAGUAACACGUGAGUAACCUGCCCUUGACUUUGGGAUAACUUCAGGAAACUGGGGCUAAUACCGGAUAGGAGCUCCUGAUGCAUGGUGGGGGAUGGAAAGUUUCGGCGGUUGGGGAUGGACUAGCGGCUUAUCAGCUUGUUUGUGAGGUAGUGACGUACCAAGGGUUUGAAGGAUAGCCGGCCUGAGAGGGUGACCGGCGACCUGGGGACUGAGAGACGGCGCAGACGCCAACGGGAGGCAGCAGUGGGGAACCUGGCGCAGUGGGGGGACGCCUGAGGCGGCAACGUCGCGUGCGGGAAGCCGGCCUUCGGGGUGUGAACCGCUUUCGCCUGUGACGAAGAGUGAGUGACGGUAAUGGGUCAAGAAGCAACGGCUAACUACGUG